AAAAAACUCGCAGCAUGCGUUGAAUUUUUUACGUAUUUCUUAGCUAGUGCCUAUGGUACAAAUUUGGCAUUGUAUUGUUGGUUGCCUAUUAAACCAGAACCUGACAUUUUUUCGUUCCCGCCAGUUUCCACCAAAACGAGCUUGGUUUUUGUGUGAUUUUCUGUGGUUGUUGUUUCUGUUUUCCGAACAUAAACCGAAUAUACCGAAUAAACCGAAUAAAAAAACAGUAUUUUUCAAUACUAAAUUUCGUGUUUUCUUGAUUUGUAAUCAUGGUGUAUACCAGUGAACAAAAAGCCUUUUUGUUGGAAAGUUAUUUCCGAAAUGGAGAGAAAGUGAACGGUGUUUGGAAAUAUUCAAUUCAACCGUGCCUGGAGGAAUUUCGAGAAGCUUUUCCUGAGGUUAUCGUCUAUGAAGAAUUUAAAAACCCUUUUCACUGAAAUGUGAGCUUGUCUCGUGGAACUGCGUCCACCUCGCGUACAACAGAACAUUUUCAUGAAGCUGUGGAAGAACCUCUUCAUCCAGAAAAAUAGGUGUUUGGGCGGCUAUCAGCAAAAGAAGAAUUGUCGGUCCAAUUUUGUUUCAAGUUUUCAGGAACACUAACUGCAGUACGUUAUCGCGAAGAAAUUCUUACGCCUUUUAUCGAAGAACUUCACGAUGAAGAAUUACGAGAUGGUUUGUUUCAACAAGAUGGUGCAACAGAGAACGUUUUUUGAUGACAGAAUAAUUAGCAGGAAUACAGCAAAUGAUUAUCCCCCAAGAUCAUGUGAUUUAACGCCUUGCGACUUUUAUCUUUGGCCACGCAUUAAAAAUUCAAUUUUUGUUACACCAAUUCCAACUAUUGAUGAAUUAAGACGACGCAUUCAACAGAAAAUUAAUGAAAUUAACGAAAAUCCACUUGAACUGACUAAUGGGUUAAACAGUGUUCGAAGGCGUUGUGUUAUGUGUGUUGAGCAACAAGGAAGACAUUUCCAACAGUUUUUAUAGUUAAUAAAUAAAUAUUUUUACGAAAAUG